UCCACCACAUUCAUGAUUCAUUGUUGGUAAUCUAGGAAAAUCUCUUUUACAAGUUCCUUUUCCCAAAUCCAAGCCCAACAAACUAUAUUCACUUUGGGGGUUGAAUUUUUGGCAUGUUGGGAAUUGCCACCAUUUCUUUUCUUCUGUUUUCUCUUGUUGGCCGUGUGUGGAGAUGUUGUCAUUUUAUGGUGUCGGUAGGAUGACAACAUGGUGACAGGCGACCUGGAGACCUCUAAACAACAGAAGCCUAGAAAAUCCAUUUUCAGAGAGACAACAUGCCAUUGUGUCGAUAAAAUGACAACACAUGCCUUGCAGGAAAAAUGCAGUCAGUGUUGUCUCUUUCCGUUGGUUGGAGCACGAACUCGUCAACCAAAGGUCCAAAAAUAUAAAUAUAGGAGGAGCCUGAUCUAUAUUGCAGAAGACGUGCCGUCGACGUGCCAACAUGUUCACUAAACCAUCCUCAUUAUUGCCGAUAUCUUUACUCUGGAUUCUGCUACUUGAUGUAUCGUUCGGUGUGGGACGAAACAGUCAUAGAAAUGUAAGAUACAAAUAAUUUUUUAUGAUGAUUAAUAUUACAUUCGUCUACAUCAAUAUCGUGUUCGAUUUAAGCUUGUAAAUAGAAAUUUAAUAAAAUAUUCUAAAUUCAGUAUUA